UGGAACAAGCAACCUGAAGCCAGAAGGUCAAGCUGAGGCUGCUUGUGAGGGCUGUUGGGGAGGGAGUGUGUAAAUACAGUGGGAAGACGACCUAGGAGGAGAUAGCCAAGGGCCCUUGUAGUUCUGUGGUUCCAUAGGAAGGACGUGGUCUGGAAGGAGAGCAGUAAGCUUGUUGUUAGGAAACACAAUUCCUGCUCCUCAUUGAGAAGCUGUUGCAGUAGCAGAGGAAGAUGCUUAGUGGGGAGAUGAGUGAAGCUAUUUGGAGCUUGGAGCAUUCUCCUAUAGCCUCAACUUCGUCACUUGGCCAUAUCUAACCUGGAGGUCCAGAAAAAGAUUUAGUUAGACAGCUAAAUAUUGGGGUUCUGCAGCGAAGGAAGAUGAGGAGAGUGGAUAUUGGAAAGUAACUGGCGGUCUGCCUCAGGAAACGGAACCUUUAAAUACGUAAUAGGUUUGACUGAAUUGUAUGGAAUGGGACAGAAAGAGGAAGCAGUGGAGGAAUCGGGGAAACUCAGUUUUCUAGCUUAGGUGCCACCAACUGGUUUAGAGAGUUCAGGAAGAGAUGCAGAUUCUGUGGGAAGCUGAUGGGUUCAGUUUGCAUACAGUUCUUGUACCAAAUAUUGAGCACUACUAUGUGCCAGGCACUCAGCUGUGUGCUUUUCAUACAAAAACCCUAUUAGAGAGAUAUUGUCCCCAUUUUAGAGUUGAGGAAACUGUGACUUGAUGUGAAAUGGGUUGUUGAAGGUCCUAAAGCUCUUAACUCCUUCUCUUUCUCUCACCCUUCACCCUUCAUGUUUGAUGCCUGGGAGGCCUCCCAAUGAAGCCUGACAGCUGGAUGUCAGACCUACACUGUUGACGGAGAGGUCUGGACUGAAGGUGUAUUUCCAUUCAUCUCAAGUCUAUUGGGUUCGCUUUUUCCUAUUCUUUCUAGCAUCCUCUUUUCCUUGUCUAGUAAACUGUCCUGACUUUGACAAGUUUAAUACCCCUAUUUUCAUAUAUCCUUCCGUCUCUCUCUCCUCAUGCACCAUCUUUUAACAUCAAAGAAGUUAUUGGUGAGUUGGAGGAUGGAUGGGAGCGUAGGGCCAGGUGAGAAAUGGGUUAUACCAUCCCUGACAAGGGUGGUAAGUGGCUACCUGCAGAUUAAAAGCUGAGCCCCCCAUAUUUGGGUGGAGCUGGGAUUGUUGUCUUUCCUUAAACUGGUAAACAAAGCAAUAUUGAUUGUUAUGGCAAUGGGCAACGGGGUUACAGAUUAGUUAGGAGCCCUGCUGGCAUAGGGAUUAAAGCGGUUCAAUUAAAGCGGUUCGCUGCUAACCCAAAGGUUGGCCAUUUGAACCCACCAGCCACUCCUUGGGAGAAAGAUGUGGCAAUCUGCUUCCAUAAAGAUUUAAAGCCUUGGAAAUCCUGUGGGGUAGUCCUCCUCUGUCCUGUAGGGUCUCCAUGAGUCGGAAUCAACUCAACGGCAACAGGUUGGUUUAGUUAGAGAUUAGUAGCAGCCAUGGUCUCAUCUACCUCAUAACAGCUUUACCUAGAGCUGUUAUAUCAAUUUAUUUGGGUCUUACCAGAGUUCUGGAUUUUUUUUUUUUUUUAAUCAAUAUUUUGUGCCUGUGUCUACAAAAUACUGUUGCUGAGAAAUGUUUCUAGUGGGAAACAAAGGCACAAAUAUUCUAGGGUAUAUUUCCAUGGCUUACAAUGAAAAGAAGCAAGAUUGAGAUGUCAGGGAGCGAAUUGGCCAGCCCCUCAGCCACACCUCACUGGGUGGCUAGCCAUAUCUGUGUGAGGUCACUGUGGCCCAGGGUUUUGUCCGAAGAGUUUCCUCUGUAGAAGCUGGAUUUUGGCAGUGUACCCAUAGACAGUCAAGCUUAGAAGACUGAGGUACAAACCAAACUGGUAAAAGAGAAUGAGUAUGAUAUAUAAACUAGGAUGCCAAUGUGAUACAUUUCCAGGAGGAUCACAAUUGUGAGUCAGAAUAUUUAGGUUGGCUUACCAGCAAAUUCUCUCUGUUAUAGAAGGUGCGUGAUCAUUAGAAGGCUACUGUACAUGGUGGAACAGAGAAAAGAGAAUGCCAGCUAUUAUAAUUGCUACUAUCAUGGGCCAAGGUAGCCUGUUACAUCAGUUUCUCAAUAAGUUAUUAAUUUAUUCUCGCUCAGAAGGUAACUUUUUUUCCAAGAUAUGAGGGCCCCUUACUACAAGGUUACACAACUGGUUUGCACUUGACUAUGGAAGAAAGGCCUGGCAGUCUGCAUCCGUAAAGAUUACAGCCAAGAAAACCCUACCCUGUAACAUACGGGGUCGCCAUGAGUCAGAAUCAGAAUCAACUUGCCGGCGAUGGGUAUUUUUUUUUUUUUUAACAUAAUAUAGUGUGGUUACAGUUUCUGAUAUCCUGCUGUUCUUUACCCCACCUACCUCUUGUUUUCACACCUUCGAGAGGGAUUUUCCAGAAUAAAUUUUUUGAUUCACCCUCUUUUUUUAGUUUUGGGAAGGGGUGGUGGCAAAUAAAUAGUUUGAAACCUAUCUCAGAUGUAAGGUCCUGCCUUUGGUAUCUCCUUUGCUCCCUUCUCAUUACAAACCAGGUCAGGGAUUCGUAACCUCUUGAGAUGUAACCAGAUUUUUAAAAUUCAGUACCAAAACUAGAAUGUAAGGUAUCUCAAUAUUUUUUUACUUCGUAACAUGUUGAAAUGAUAAUAUUUUGGAUAUGUUUGGCUAAAUAUAUUAUUAAAAUUGUUUCUCCUAUUUCUUCCUGCAACUAGAAAAUUUUCAGUUGUGUAUGUGGCUCACAUAGUAGAGUGCUGCUCUACGGAUUGUGGAAAUGUCAUUUCAUGAAUGCCUGCAUGAGGUAGGCUAUCCCAUAAAAAGGUACUUUUUAACAACAGAGUUUUGAGAUGUACCUAAUAACUUGAAUACUGAUGGAAAUUAGGCGUAUUUCUUCUCUUCAUUCCCUUUACUAAUAAGUUAGGGUAUUUCCGAAACUAUUGAGAAGUACACAAAAGCCCAAAACUUCCUCCACAUUCUUUUCUUUUUUAAUGCUGAUUCAGUUUUAUUCCAUAAAACUGCUACUUCCUUUUAAAUUGACUUUACUGUGACUUUUCUGCAUCACAAAGUGGAAGGACUCUCCAAGUGUGACUGCUGAAGCAUAAAGGACCCUGUGAAUCUCUUUGAGAGGCUGGCUUUCUGUCCCCAUGUGUGAAGUAGCACUUUACAUGGUGGGGUCAUUUGUAAAUAUUAGUCUUCUAAGUAAUAAUUUCUUAGGAUGAUUCUUUUUCUUAUUUCCACAUUAGUUAACUUACAGACUCUUAUCUAAAACACUUGAAUCCAAAGUUUUGUUGCCAAUGUUAUUGAGGAGAUUGAGUGUUCUAGUUGGAAAGUGAUUUAAUUGAGAGAAACUUGAAAGAAUAUACCAGACUACCUGAAAAUCUUGUUUUUUAUUCCUUGGCUUAUUAGUUAUAUGAUCAUAAGCAAUUCAUUUAAUAUAUCUGAGCUUAAGUUUCAUCAAAUCUAAGGACAAAAUGUGUGUGUGUGUUUGUGUUGGGGAGAUACUAUGAAAUUCCAAACUGAAUUCGUAAUUCUGACAAGGACCAUUCUUAUUUGACUUUAUAGCCCCUGGUAUAGCUGGCUGAUGGUGAAUACUUGUUGAAGAUAGAAAGAAAUGAGCGAUUUUGACUUUCGGUUGUCUGUGCUUGUCUUAGGACUCAGUAGAGAAAACCUGAAGAACAAUGAAAGGGAUAUGAAAUUCUUGGUUGAUCUACUUCUAAUUGUGGGGUAGCUUGUCUUACUAUCCCGACAUGAAGUGAUCCUUAGCCUGCGUUUGGCAUAUUCUUACAUAACACCUCUCUCAUAGUUUCCUACUUUUAUUCUAAUACAUGUACAUGUAUUAAAUUAUAAGCUUUUAUAUAUGGGGGAUACUUCUUUGUAAUUCUCAGCAUGAGGCUUGGCAUUACACCAUGAGGACAGCUAUUUGAUCACCUACUUCUCUUCCCUGGCUGGACCCGAGAUCAUUGAAAUUCCUUCGUAGCUUUAAACGAAUAAUUUCUUUAGUAAGAAUCAGCACAAAGCUGGUUCCUAUGAGGUGGAGGUUAAAGAUGUCUUAAAUGUCCAACUUCUCCAAGCUGCUGUACCACUCCAUCAUCUCUACCACCAACUACUCUCCCUCCCCUCAGUACUCUUCCUCUUUUUGGGGGGUUCGGUAAUUUGCUGCAACGUCUCACGGAACUCACAAACUACUUACAGUUAAAUGGUUUAUUAGGGAAGUAACAGUGCAACUCGGAAUCAGGAUCGACUCAGAAGUAACAGUAACAACUCAGGAGACAAUACACAGUUCAUCAAUGAGGACAGCUUCCAACCAAGACAGCUCUCAGAUCUUUCUCGGCUGUGCCCGCAGGCCAAAUCUACCUGAAUGAAUCAGCCUCCAUAAAGCACCUCACCAGGCACUUGGUAAGGUCUUAAUAAAUGAAUAUACUAGAGUAUCAUUUUAAAUAAUUGCUCUGCUCCUGUCUCGUUCUACACAAUGAUGGUCUUUCUCUGCCGUUUCCUGACACAGAGCUCAAUUGUUCUGGAUCUGCUGUCUGUGUUAGGAAAAACCCAAACCCAAACCUUUCCCUGAGGGGCUUCGUUCCUUGACCUUUGACCCAGAACUUGACUUCUCUAAUUUCUAAACCACCAUUAAUCACUCAUAAAAUGAGGGUUGACUGGAUUUUCCUAAGGGUUUCAUCUAUGUCUAAUAGUGUCUAGGGCCAUGAAUCACAGAAUCUAAGAAAAAUUGACAAUCUCCUCUAGUACUUGGAGUAGUCAUGGCUAUAAAAAUAUUGUAUAGAAGAAAUUUUUACAUUCUGUCUUCUGAGGAAUGCAGUUAUGCUCUCUAGGCUGGAGACAGAAGUUGGUGAAAGGGCUGGAGGGUGACAGGUGGAGUCAAGAUGGGGCCAUGAGCGGAACUAGAGGAAAAGUUAAGAGGGUGUCUAAACCGGUAAACUCUGAACCAGUAAAUCUUGGAAUACAGUUGGGUGUACUUAAAUGAUUUUGUAGUGAAGCAAUUAUAUUUCCCAUUAGGACUCUACACUAAUUUACGGCUGUAAACAUCACAAGGAAUUCUAGCUGGCCUUUUUUUUUUUUUUUAAGCAAAUGUUAGUUCGCCCUUAUCCUCCACAUAUUCCCAGCCAUGUCCAUAUCAGAAGCAGGGGGGAGGAUUAAAUUUACAUCCAUUUGCCUGCAUCCAUAUCUGGUGCAAGAGGUGACUGUGAAGAAUUUAGUCUUUACUCUGGAGAGAUGGACUCCCAGGGAAUUACUGACAUACAGGCAAGGAAAGUGCCAGGGGUAGUGCAAAUGGAACACGAACUGCCCCUUGCCCUAAGAGCUGACCCCUGGUCAGGUACUGUUGUCUAGGCCAUGAGAUUAAAGAUGUGUCUCCUCUGGUGUGUCCCCCACACCCUUCUCAGCUGAACCUAGCUACAGUUUGCAAGUUUGGAGGGAGGAAGGAAUGACACCUCCUUCGCUUGCUUUGCCUGUAAGUUUGGGCAGAAAAUCCCAAUGGGAAAGCUGGAACGCAUGUACAUGGUUAUUAUAUGAGAGGCAAGUGCUAGGUGGUGGAGGGUAAAGUGCUCUCGGUAUGCACAGCCUCCCUCCCUCACCUGACCCCAGCUAACCCCUGGGGGCAGGAACUUUUCCUUGUGCAGGCCUUGCUUGCUGCUGUUUUUCUCUUAGAAUCAGCCCACUCUUAUUUCCAGAGUGGAGUUGGACUAUCCUUUGGGAGUUAUAGGGUGUCAUCUCUGGGAUUUGCUCCCACUGCAGAAAAACAAGCCCAGUUGCAAUGCACUCAGGUUUCUGAACAGCUGCCUGAGCACUCGAAACCAGACAGUCAGCAAAGCUGUCUGAAAGCAGGGACUCCCGGGAGGGGCGGCACGGGGCAGGGUCCCGGGUUGUGGGGUUGGGGAGACAUCCCGGGACCCGCCUAGAGGGUGAUGCUCACCAGGGUAGAGUCCUAGGGUGGGCUGUGGUGAGGGGGACUGGGAGAGGAGGCUCAGGAGGUGGGGCAUGCGCGGGAGCAGCUGUCCCAGCCGCCCCCUCCCUGCACCGCCGCUGGGCCGCUGCAUCGCAGCUGCCGCCAGGGUGCGGGCGCCCUCCCAGCCGAGGCAUGCGGGACGUGAGCUACGUGUGGCAGCCUCUGCUCCUGCUUUUCCACUGAAGUGUAUGUUUCUGGGAGCGGAGCUGUUUUCUCUCCCAAUCACAGCAUAACCUCAGUUUGAAAUAUGCAUCUCUCUGCAGGGCAGCGCUUCUGUACUUAUGCAUUGCAUGCUAACGUGAUGCCCGUUAGCCUCACAUGAAUGUAAUAGAACCGUGCAGACGACAGUGCCCCGCGAAAAGCACCCCAGAUCUUGACGAGACCAGGACUAAUCUGACUACACGACUGUCAGAUGUCGCGAAUCGAUGCUAAACUGAGAGGAACGGAAACUUAGAAAGGGCCCCGCACACACACACAAACAUACCCCAAAAAUUGGUGAGGAAAAGAUCUAGAGCUGUGCUGGUAAAUGUCAUGAAUUUUAGGGGUUUGCAUAAUCAAGGUGCCCGCCUCCCGAUAGUUACUCCUGGGCGUUUAGUCAGGUAAUGAUGCAUUUCAAGUCAGAUUGGUGGCUCAUUUUAUUUACUCUUUUACUAGGAGAGAAAAAGGUUUAUAUACUAUUCGGUAAAUGGUGAGUAUGGAAAACAAAAUGUGGAGCUUGUCAGUUUAGCCUCCCAGGCUUUCCUGCGCCCCCCUCAUGCCCAGCAACAUAGGCAGCCCGCAGGAGCCUGGCCUCCAGGUCUUGGGGCUGAGUGUGGUGGGAGCAAGUUCAGCACAAGUCAAGGUUUCUGAGGGAUUCAGGAAAGUGAGCGAGGUGUGAACGAAGGACCAAGGAAGUCCUCUUCCUGCGGUAGUAGCGGGGGUCGUGGUGGGUGAUGACUCAGCUAUUAUUAGGGGACACCUGUAGGCAAGGAACGACCCUGAGAGCUCUUCCCCACAGGUGCUCUCAGUAUCCUACCCUCCAGUUUCCCUCUAGGGUAGCAGACUCUCCCUCACCCCCCUCCUCCUGCGCUGGAACCUUUAUCCCUAAACCUGCGUCUUCAACUAGGCUGUGUCUGACCCGGGGCGCAUGUUACGUAAGAAUGCAGAGUGUUGGGCCCCACUCCCAGAAAGGCUGUAUCACCAAGAUGCAUUUUGACAAGCAUCCUAGGUGAUUCUGUUCUGUUGCGGAGGGGAGGGCGGUCCAUGGACCACAAGGAACAGCGCAGCUUCUCUCUCAGCAGUUGAGGCGACGGACUGGAAUUAUUCUAAGAAGUUGUGUCAGUUGUCCUUAGGGGAUAAAUAGGAGGCUAGAGAAGUUAGAGACCGUCAUCUAGGGCUGGACGUGGUCCCGCCUUACUUUUAGGGGGUUAUCAGAAGUGGGAGCGCGGGGUUAGUCGGGACUGGGUCUGGGUUGCAGGAGCAGGGAGCGCUGCUCUCAAGGGCCUGUAGGGGGCGUCAGAGGGACGCCUCCUGGCUUCCCCACCCCCUCUUCUCCCCCACGUGAAAAGGGGCUGGAACCAAAAGAAUGUGUCCCCGCCCCAAGACUGACGUGUGCGCCCUGCCGGCUUCAACUCUUAAAAAUACCAGUGGUGCGCGGGGCAUCCUCGCAGAGCUUGAGAGGCAGACGAGCAGGAGGGGAAGCGAAGCGCAGCAGGCUCGCAACUGGUGCACAUUCCGGCCAUACCCGGUGGAGACCGCGGCUGUCACGCCGCCCGGAGCAUUCCCGGCGUGCGAGCGCCCGGGCUUCCCAAAGUACACAAGCCCGACCCUGUGGGCGCUGCAAGUGCAGCUCCUGUAUCCCCAUCCCUCUUCCAGCGGCUUGUGGUGCGGAGCCUCACACACGUUGCCAGCGUUAA